CAGAAUGGGGAGCAUUGUCCAGUCGGCAGAUGGCAUUUCUCGGCAGGAAGGAUUCCAAAAUCCUUCCGCACCCGGUCAGGAUAGUUGUGCGUUAAAGUUGUUCGGAAUUGAUGUUCAUGCUAACUGGACCAGAGUGUUCCUUUUCCAGAUUGUGAUGCUUGUGAAAAGGAAUAAUUCACGCUGAGUAAAGUGGAGGGCACUCUCCAUCACCACAUGGCAACUGCGAGCUUUAGCAACAGAGAAACUGAGGCAUUUGGGGGGCCUUACAUUACAAGCCUGUGUGUUGUUCCAGAGAGGACGAUUCUCCUCUCCGUUAAAGAUUUUCAAGGAAAAUGCUGGUUCACUUUGAAGGCCACCUGCUCCUGAGUUCCCAGUGUGGUUGGUUAGUAAAUCCUUAUCCCACAAAGAAUUUUAAAAAUGUACCAGCUUACAGAGGUCAGAGGCUAAAGCAUGGAGGUGUUUAAUGGGCAUUUUUUUUUUCCGUCUCACUAAUAGACUGUUGACAUAGGUCUUUUGUGAAUUCCUUGGCUGACUAAGUGUGUUCGUGAUCUGAACGAGGGGAGGAGCAGAGACAGCUCAGGUUUCAGGAUAUAAGGUUUUGUUUAAUUUCAGUCAAUCAUUUGUUGAUGGCAAGUACACCAGACGAAACGCUUCCUCUAAAUGCGCUCUGAGAGCUUUGGGUCCGUGCGUGUAAAUCAUCUUGCCUGCCACAGCACCACAUCCUGCAAACCCCUGUGACACUGACAGGGACCAGAUGUGUAAGGCCACGGCAAAGACAUUCGGUUUUGACAUCAGCUGACUGACAGUUACAUUUGGAGUUCCCGGUUGAGGGUUUGAGAUUCUGUCUACCACCAGGUAGAUGAAAAUCUGCAUUUAAUGUUAUCACGUGCCUUUGAGCAAUUAACUGAAGAUAAAACCACCCCUGACCAUGGAGCUGAGCUUAAAUUAAUCUAGUUUUAGCUCUUUCUUGCUUACUCGCUCUGGUUUUCUCACACUGUCUCAUUUUUAUAGC